UUGAGCAAAAAUGUAAGGCUAAGGCUUUGGUUAUUACCAUAGUUUAGAAAAUUGUGUGUGGUGCUAAUUUUAAUGAACAAACUCCUCCAUCAAAAAUUAUUCAAAACAAAAUCAAGGGCAAGAACGUGAGCAAUUUUGAAACAAAAGUUUUUCUCUUUUUGUGGCUUCAUAAAUUUUUUACUUGCAAAUAUAAAUAGAUACUCCAAAAUUGUCUCUAGCAGGAUGGACAUUUGAGCUCCCUUGAUGAGUUUUUGCAUGCCUUGUGUGAGUUGAGGGGAUAGAACGAUGUGGAUUGGACCUUAAAAUGAUCAAAAAGGGAGCAAGAUAGUGUAGCUGAACAACUGGAGCAAAAACUGGCCUCAGUUACAAUGGUUGAUGUCUGAUAUCCACGGUCAUGAUAGCCAAAGCCGCGCGAUUGUGGUUUAGCAGAAAAUGGCAUCCCAAGGGCAAAACUUGAAAUGAACAUGGUUGAUCCCAAAUCUUUUGCAAAAAGACUCAAACUCUAAGUCAUUAAUUAUAUUUCAUCUUCCCUUAUUUGUUUUGGUUUAGCUCUUGAGUUCAUAGCCUCCAUAUUUUUAGAAGAAAAUAUUGUAAAAAAUUUUGGUAAAGAAUACAUUGGAGACCUUCUAAGUUGAGGAAUAGCUCACUUCCAUUGAAGAUUUGUGUGGGUCCAAAGUUUGAAGUAACAUUAAGUUAAUCUUCAACAAGUCAUUUCAAUAGAGUUUGUUGGUAUAUCUAUGAUUAUUUAUCUUAUGUGUAGCUAGAUCUCCUUCUUGGGGUUUUGUUAAA